AUCUAUGGCCAUACCACCCUGAACGCGCCCAAUCUCAUCUGAUCUCGGAAGCUAAACAGGGUCGGAUCUGGUUAGUACUUGGAUGGGAGAACUGUCUGUUCAUGAACUCUGCCUACUUUUGGAA
rnacentral:rRNA from 1 species